UCCGGUUUGUCACCGGCAGUCCCAUUAGAGUGCUCAACUAAAUGUGGCAACUAAUGGCAAGGGUUGCGCUCGUUGCGGGACUUAACCCAACAUCUCACGACACGAGCUGACGACAGCCAUGCAGCACCUGUGUCCACGCCCCUUGCGGGGAGGAACCCAUCUCUGGGAACCGUCGUGGCAUGUCAAAAGCUGGUAAGGUUCUUCGCGUUGCUUCGAAUUGAACCACAUGCUCCACCGCUUGUGCGGGCCCCCGUCAAUUCCUUUAUGUUUUAGUCUUGCGACCGUACUCCACAGGCGGGAUGCUUAACGCGUUAGCUUCGCUACAAGAGGGGUCGAUACCUCUUACAGCUAGCAUCCAUAGUUUACGGCAUGGACUAC
rnacentral:misc_RNA from 1 species